rnacentral:rRNA from 1 species
UGGGGAAUCUUGGACAAUGGGCGGAAGCCUGAUCCAGCGACGCCGCGUGGGUGAUGAAGGCCUUCGGGUUGUAAAGCCCUUUCGCCGGGGACGAUGAUGACGGUACCUCGCUAAAAGCACCGGCUAACUCCGUGCCAGCAGCCGCGGUAAUACGGAGGGUGCAAGCGUUAUCCGGAAUCACUGGGCGUAAAGGGCACGUAGGCGGUCUUGUAAGUCCGAUGUUAAAGCGUGGGGCUCAACCCCAUCACGGCGUUGGAUACUGCAAGGCUUGACGACUGGAGAGGUGAGUAGAAUUACCAGUGUAGCGGUGGAAUGCGUAGAUACUGGUAGGAAUACCCAUUGCGAAGGCAGCUCACUGGACAGUACGUGACGCUGAGGUGCGAAAGUGUGGGGAGCAAACCGGAUUAGAUACCCGCGUAGUCC